rnacentral:rRNA from 1 species
GAUAAACGCUAGCGGCAGGCUUAACACAUGCAAGUCGAGGGGCAGCAUAGAUUGUAGCAAUACAAUUGGUGGCGACCGGCGCACGGGUGCGUAACGCGUAUGCAACCUGCCCGUCACAGGGGGAUAAUCCGGAGAAAUCUGGUCUAAUACCCCAUAACAUAUGGAUCGGCAUCGGUUCAUGUUGAAAUUUUCGGAGGUGACGGAUGGGCAUGCGUAGCAUUAGCUUGUUGGUGAGGUAACGGCUCACCAAGGCGACGAUGCUUAGGGGGACUGAGAGGUUUUCCCCCCACACUGGUACUGAGACACGGACCAGACUCCUGCGGGAGGCAGCAGUGAGGAAUAUUGGACAAUGGGCGCAAGCCUGAACCAGCCAUGCCGCGUGCAGGAUGACGGCUCUAUGAGUUGUAAACUGCUUUUGUACGAGGGUAAAGUGGGUUACGUGUAACCUUUUGAAAGUAUCGUACGAAUAAGGAUCGGCUAACUCCGUGCCAGCCGCCGCCGUAA